rnacentral:rRNA from 1 species
GAUGACGGUAGGCCGGCCGGCCGCCCUUCGACAUCACAAAGGUAGCAUAAUCCCUACUCUUUUAAUUGAAGACUUGUAUGAAAGAUUUGAUGAAAUAUAAACUGUCUCUAAUUUAUGUUUAUAAAUUAAUUUUUUAGUUAAAAAGCUAAAAUAAAGUUAAAAGACGAGAAGACCCUAUAGAGUUUUAUAUUUUGAUUAAUUAUUAUUAAAUAUAUAAUUAAAUAUAAUAAUUAAUUAAAAUAUUUUGUUGGGGUGAUACAAAAAUUUAAUAAACUUUUUUUAACAUUUGAACAUGAUUAAUUAAAGAAUUAAUCCCUUAUUAAUGAUGAUAAGAAGAAAUUACCUUAUCGAGGACACCGGCGUAUUUUUUUUUAUUACAAAAAAAAAAAAAAGGCCGCGGGCGGCGGGGGUGAACAGGAACCUUUUAAUUGGCAGAUGGGGGAGCAUGGACCUGUACCAUUAUUAACAAAAAACAUGGUUUUUGAUAAA